rnacentral:tRNA from 1 species
GCCCCCGUAGCUCAGUGGAUAGAGCACGGCUCUCCUAAAGCCGGUGUCGUAGGUUCGAUUCCUAUCGGGGGCA